CCUGGCUCAGGAUGACGCUAGCUACAGGCUUAACACAUGCAAGUCGAGGGGAAACGAUAUUGGAAGCUUGCUUCUGAUAGGCGUCGACCGGCGCACGGGUGAGUAACGCGUAUCCAACCUGCCCAUCACUUGGGGAUAACCUUGUGAAAGUAAGACUAAUACCCAAUGACGUCUCUAGAAGACAUCUGAAAGAGAUUAAAGAUUUAUCGGUGAUGGAUGGGGAUGCGUCUGAUUAGCUUGUUGGCGGGGUAACGGCCCACCAAGGCGACGAUCAGUAGGGGUUCUGAGAGGAAGGUCCCCCACAUUGGAACUGAGACACGGUCCAAACUCCUACGGGAGGCAGCAGUGAGGAAUAUUGGUCAAUGGACGAGAGUCUGAACCAGCCAAGUAGCGUGCAGGAUGACGGCCCUAUGGGUUGUAAACUGCUUUUAUAAGGGAAUAAAGUGGGAGUCGUGACUCUUUUUGCAUGUACCUUAUGAAUAAGGACCGGCUAAUUCCGUG
rnacentral:rRNA from 1 species